UGUAACGUGCGCGCCGCGGAAAUGAAAGACACUUUUAAACUUUAAAACCAAGCAGCUUUAUUAACGCGUCCGACAAGGCUCGAGACCGAGAUUAGACUCGUUGUUGACAAACGUUGCCAAGAGCGUGACAAUUGACAACGCUCUCGGUAAAAUCAAUGUAUCGAUCGGCUUCGGAACAGCUGAGUCGCAGUCGCGGAGUAUACCAGGUGACGCUCGUAACAAUAUUUACAUUUGUGGACAUUGGAGCUUACGGUCGACGCAGUGACGGUGGCAUCUUUAAAGAUUCCUUGAUUAGACAAUCUUUUGAUAAUAAGCAAAUGAAUUUACCAAAAGCAGAACGUCAGAUGGACCUAUAACGUCAGAUGGACAACCUUUAUCAUACGUACUCGUGGGAGAUGAAGCGUUUCAAUUAUCAAAUUACUUACUUCGACCUUACUCAGGAAGAGAAAAUCUAACUGAAGAUCGAAUAAUCUUUAAUUAUCGUCUUAGUCGUGCUAGAAGGACAAUUGAAAACACUUUUGGCAUUUUAACAUUGAGGAAAAUCAAUACGUACCUCCAUCAAUGAUUGAUCAAGAUACUCCAAAUGGUUUAAUUCCUGGUUCUUGGAGAAAAUGCACUGAAAAAUGUGCACUUCGUGACAUAACUAAAUGCGAUACUAAUACCAGUAGUUGUCAAGCUAUAAACAAAUUCAAGAAAAAUUUUAUCGAUAUUUUAACAAUGAAGGAGCUGUACCAUGGCAAUUUAAUCAUUGUUAAUAUUUGUAUAUAUCAUGUUUUAUUUCUAAUUAAAGUGUAAGAAACAC